rnacentral:rRNA from 1 species
UACGUAGGGUGCGAGCGUUAAUCGGAAUUACUGGGCGUAAAGCGUGCGCAGGCGGUUUUGUAAGCCAGAUGUGAAAGCCCCGGGCUUAACCUGGGAAUGGCAUUUGGGACUGCAAGGCUUGAGUGCGGCAGAGGAGACUGGAAUUCCUGGUGUAGCAGUGAAAUGCGUAGAUAUCAGGAGGAAUACCGAUGGCGAAGGCAGGUCUCUGGGCUGACACUGACGCUCAUGCACGAAAGCGUGGGGAGCAAACAGGAU